rnacentral:antisense_RNA from 1 species
GUUCAUGUUCUGUUCCCCACAGAGGGGGCUCUGCGUCUCUGAACUGUUGUCAGGCCCCACCAGGCUCUUCACUGUUUGGAGCCAGAUCUAUGGAGCCAAACUGCCUUGACCUGCUUUCUGAGGAGGGGACAGGCAGAAAGUGCCGGCCCUAGCCAGAUUCAGCCCGCAGAAGGUGUUCCAGACUCCAAGCAGCCUGCUGGCCUAGCUCCAGGCCCAGGUGGCUGCAGACUCCACAAUGGGUGACUCAGUUCGGUGAUCAAGUUCAUCUUCAAGCAGGUGUAGGAGAAGACUGAUCUUGUCUUCUGUCAAGCACUACAAGGGAGCCAAGUAAAAAACUUCAUUUCAACCACCAUAAAAAGAAACAUUACACAUUAUAACAUAUCUAGAUGGUACAAGCCGAAAAUCAGGAAGGAAAUUACAAACAUGAAGAUAGUUCUCUUCACAGAGAACAAAUACUUCCAGGACAGAGCCAUAGUAUCACACAGAAGCUUUCUGAAUUGCCCUGAAUCUGCUGACUGAGAAAGAUGGAGUCUCCCUGGAACUGCCAAA